rnacentral:rRNA from 1 species
GACGAACGCUGGCGGCGUGCUUAACACAUGCAAGUCGAACGGAAAGGCCCUGCUUGCAGGGUACUCGAGUGGCGAACGGGUGAGUAACACGUGGGUGAUCUGCCCUGCACUUCGUGAUAAGCCUGGGAAACUGGGUCUAAUACCGGAUAGGAGCCAUUUUUAGUGUGAUGGUUGGAAAGUUUUUUUCGGUGUAGGAUGAGCUCGCGGCCUAUCAGCUUGUUGGUGGGGUAAUGGCCUACCAAGGCGGCGACGGGUAGCCGGCCUGAGAGGGUGGACGGCCACAUUGGGACUGAGAGACGGCCCAGACUCCUACGGGGGGCAGCAGUGGGGAAUAUUGCACAAUGGGCGCAAGCCUGAUGCAGCGACGCCGCGUGGGGGAUGACGGCCUUCGGGUUGUAAACUCCUUUCGCUAGGGACGAAGCUUUUUGUGACGGUACCUAGAUAAGAAGCACCGGCUAACUACGUG